rnacentral:rRNA from 1 species
UACGUAGGUGGCGAGCGUUGUCCGGAUUUACUGGGCGUAAAGAGCGCGCAGGCGGUCGUGCAAGUCGCGUGUGAAAGCCCCCGGCUCAACUGGGAGGGUCACGCGAUACUGCUCGACUCGAAGGCAGGAGAGGGAAGUGGAAUUCCCGGUGUAGUGGUGAAAUGCGUAGAUAUCGGGAGGAACACCAGUGGCGAAGGCGACUUCCUGGCCUGUUCUUGACGCUGAGGCGCGAAAGCUAGGGGAGCAAACGGG